ACGUUGUUCGGAAUCACUGGGCAUAAAGGGUGCGUAGGCGGGCCACCAAGUCUGCGGUGAAAUUCUCCAGCUCAACUGGAGUAGUGCCGCGGAUACUGGGGGCCUGGAGGGAGGUAGGGGCGUGCGGAACUCUGGGUGGAGCGGUGAAAUGCGUUGAUAUCCAUAGGAACUCCGGUGGCGAAGGCGGCACGCUGGACCUUUUCUGACGCUGAGGCACGAAAGCCAG
rnacentral:rRNA from 1 species